GAUGAACGCUAGCGGGAGGCUUAACAUAUGCAAGUCGAGGGGCAGCAUAGGGUAGCAAUACUCUGAUGGCGACCGGCAAACGGGUGAGUAACGCGUAUGUAACCUACCCUGUACAGGGGGAUAACCCGGAGAAAUUCGGACUAAUAUCCCAUAACAAUAUCCGGGGGCAUCUUUGGAUAUUUAAAGUUCCGGCGGUACGGGAUGGGCAUGCGUAACAUUAGCUAGUUGGUAAGGUAACGGCUUACCAAGGCUUUGAUGUUUAGGGGUCCUGAGAGGGUGGUCCCCCACACUGGUACUGAGACACGGACCAGACUCCUACGGGAGGCAGCAGUGAGGAAUAUUGGUCAAUGGGCGCAAGCCUGAACCAGCCAUCCCGCGUGCAGGAAGACGGCCCUAUGGGUUGUAAACUGCUUUUCCAGGGAGAGAAACUUACGCACGUGUUGCGUGACUGACGGUACCCUGGGAAUAAGCAUCGGCUAACUCCGUG
rnacentral:rRNA from 1 species